rnacentral:rRNA from 1 species
AUUGAACGCUGGCGGCAGGCCUAACACAUGCAAGUCGAGCGAGCGGCGGACGGGUGAGUAAUGUAUGGGGAUCUGCCAGAUAGGGGGGGCUAAAUACUGGAAAAGGUGUCUAAUACCGAACACUAUCGGUUGAACCCAGAUGGGAUUAGCUAGUAGGUGGGGUAAUGGCUCACCAAGGCGACGAUCCCUAGCUGGUCUGAGAGGAUGACCAGCCACACUGGAACUGAGACACGGUCCAGACGCCUACGGGAGGCAGCAGUGGGGAAUAUUGCACAAGGGGCGCAAGCCUGAUGCAGCCAUGCCGCGUGUGUGAAGAAGGCCUUCGGGUUGUAAAGCACUUUCAGCGAGGAGGCGUUACUCGCAGAAGAAGCACCGGCUAACUCCGUGCCAGCCGCCGCGGUAAUAC